rnacentral:tRNA from 1 species
AAGGGAGACCUAAUUCGGGUAUAAGACGAAAAAAGAGUAGUCGAAACCAAGAAUCAAUCCCAAAAGGUCGGAACGAGGUAUGUGGCUUUCAAACUAGGUUCUGGGUUCACACAAGACCUGAAUCAGGAACAAGGGCUAUUAGCUCAGGUGGUUAGAGCGCACCCCUGAUAAGGGUGAGGUCCCUGGUUCGAGUCCAGGAUGGCCCACCUGCACAGGUGGCAAAAACAAAGAGGCGAGGAAUCAGCACCUUAUCUUAUCUAUAUAUAAGAGAGAAUGCUGGCUCUGAGUAAAGAGUCCAGAGGAACCUUGAAAACUGCAUAGAGCUAGGUGAAAAAGCCAAAAAAGAAGACCGCAA